GAUGAACGCUGGCGGCGUGCCUAAUACAUGCAAGUCGAGCGAACAGACGAGGAGCUUGCUCCUCUGACGUUAGCGGCGGACGGGUGAGUAACACGUGGAUAACCUACCUAUAAGACUGGGAUAACUUCGGGAAACCGGAGCUAAUACCGGAUAAUAUAUUGAACCGCAUGGUUCAAUAGUGAAAGACGGUUUUGCUGUCUCUUAUAGAUGGAUCCGCGCCGCAUUAGCUAGUUGGUAAGGUAACGGCUUACCAAGGCAACGAUGCGUAGCCGACCUGAGAGGGUGAUCGGCCACACUGGAACUGAGACACGGUCCAGACUCCUACGGGAGGCAGCAGUAGGGAAUCUUCCGCAAUGGGCGAAAGCUUGACGGAGCAACGCCGCGUGAGUGAUGAAGGUCUUCGGAUCGUAAAACCCUGUUAUUGGGGAAGAACAAAUGUGUAAGUAACUAUGCACGUCUUGACGGUACCUAAUCAGAAAGCCACGGCUAACUACGUG
rnacentral:rRNA from 1 species